rnacentral:pre_miRNA from 11 species
UUUUAUAUUUGGCGUUGAAAGACCCCCAGAGUGGGGAGACCCUCACUCAAGUCUCAGGAUAAGCCGACGCCCCAAUAAUUCAAGAGAGACC